GAUGAACGCUGGCGGCGUGCCUAAUACAUGCAAGUCGAGCGAACAGACGAGGAGCUUGCUCCUCUGACGUUAGCGGCGGACGGGUGAGUAACACGUGGAUAACCUACCUAUAAGACUGGGAUAACUUCGGGAAACCGGAGCUAAUACCGGAUAAUAUAUUGAACCGCAUGGUUCAAUAGUGAAAGACGGUUUUGCUGUCACUUAUAGAUGGAUCCGCGCCGCAUUAGCUAGUUGGUACGGUAACGGCUUACCAAGGCAACGAUGCGUAGCCGACCUGAGAGGGUGGUCGGCCACACUGGAACUUAGACACGGUCCAUACUCCUACGGGAGGCAGCAGUAGGGAAUCUUCCGCAAUGGGCGAAAGCCUUACGGAGCAACGCCGCGUGAGUGAUGAAGGUCUUCGGAUCGUAAAACUCUGUUAUUAGGGAAGAACAAAUGUGUAAGUAACUAUGCACGUCUUGACGGUACCUAAUCAGAAAGCCACGGCUAACUACGUG
rnacentral:rRNA from 1 species